CGCAGCGCCCCCUCGUAGCCGCCUCCGCCCGCAGAAAGGCGUUCCCUGGACAGAGAAGCGGGCGCGCGGGGGCGGGCGCGCGGGGCCUUGCCGGAGAACCUGACUCUCCGCAGCAGCAGUGGAAGCCGGAGUGACGCGUUGUGUUGAACACCAGUUUUCUGGAGCGCUGUGUGUUCUUAACAGCUGAGCAGUCUGUUUCUCCAAUCAGGUUUCAAAGCCACUUCAACUGCACUGGCCCCUGUGGGUCACUGCUGCACCGCCCUGACCCAUGUGGGUCCCUGAGGAGCGACCUGCCGGGGCCACCUGGCUGGACGAAAAAGACACACCUUGGACUUAAGCCGUGAGAAAAAAACUUCAUCAGUAAGAAGAAUGAAUAAACAGACUAGGUUGAAUCCAUACAAUGGAAUGUUAGCAGACAAUAAAAAGAAAAUGAACUAUUGAUGUCCCCUACUGCACAGCAGAAGCUCUGAAUCGUGUUCCUGAAUGAAAGAAGUCAGGUGAAAAUCAAAAUUAAGGCAGAAAUAAAAAAAUCUUUGAAAGUAAUGAAAAUGGAGAUACAACUUAACAAAGUCUCUGGGAUACAGCCAAAGCAGUGUUAAGAGGAAAGUUUAUAACGUUAAAUGCCUUCACCAAGAAGUUAAAACAAUCUCAAAUUAACAGUCUAACUUUGCACCUAGAAGAACUAGAGAAAAAGAGCAAACCAACCCCAAAGCUAGCAGAAGAAAAUAAAUAACUAAAAUUAAAGAAGAACUUAAUGAAAUUGAGAUGCAAAAAUCCAUACAAAAGAUAAAUGAAACCAAAAGUUGAUUUUCAAAAAAAUAAACAAGACUGAGAGACCACUAGCUAGAUUAACAAAGAAAAAAGAAUUUCCAAAUAAGUACUGUCAGAAAUGACAAAGAUAUUACAAUUCAUCUUCAUUUGCAGAUGAAGAUACUGCAGCUUUGUCAGCAGACUAAGUCACCUAAAUGCUCUGCCAGAAGCAGAAUUUGUACUCAGGAAUGUCCAACUGCAAAGUCCAUGUGCUUGAACAGUAUGGCGUACUGAUACAUGCAGAAAUACAAAAGAUCCUCAGAAAAUACUGUGAGUAAUUCUAUGCACACAAAUUAGAAAAUCUAGAGGAAAUGGAUAAAUUCCUGGGAACAUACAAUCUCCCAAGAUUGAAUCAGGAAGAGACUGAUACCCUGACUAGACCAAUAUCAAGCUCUGAAAUUAAACGAAUAAUAAAAAACCUACCAACGACAACAACAAAAAGCCCUGGACUAGAUGGAUUCACAGCUAAAUUCUAUCAGACAUACAAAGAACUGGUACCAAUCCUACUGAUUAAACCUCUUUAGGUUCUGCUUUUUGUAUUGUUAAAAUCUUCAUUUUUGGUUUUCUAACAGUCUCUGAUUCAAACAUUCGUUACCAAUAAACAAUCCAGGUAGCCUCACCCUGAGUGGCAGCCUGGCUGGGUGAGUUCUAAAAAUGCCCAAGACCUCCAAGACUAGGUGAGAUCUGAAGUAAUGAAAUGCCUCCAUUCACUAAAGGCCUGAAAUUGUCCUGACUGCCCCAGUCCCACGGACCAAGAAGAGCCUUUCAAGCUGUGAUCCCAAUACUUGUGGCUGCUGUGAGAAUAAGGAAAGCAGCCUAGGCCUCCAGUGGAAGGAUCAGAUGUUUGCCCUUCAUACCUCAGAGAGCCUUCAUCCAAGUAAGAUGGGUGGUGAGGAGCUGUGGAUGACAGCAUGAAGGAUGAGGACUGAUGCAGCAGCCAUAAUUAGAUUAUAGGUUUCCAUGGGAUGUGCCAUGACUGCUUACAAAUGGGGCCCAGCCAUGGAAUUGAGUUAUCAACUAAGCUGAUUCCUGAGGCACAGAUCAUCCUGUCCUCCACAACAUGAUUAAAGACUACAUGAUGCUCAGGAAGACCUCUGCAGCUGUGUGCUUGGAAGAGUGUGUUUUUCCUGCUAAAGCAUAAGAAAAAAGAGACCAGCAAUUAUCUUAGGCCUUGCAGCAUCCUUUCUGGUCCCACAAGUUUGAGAAGGCAGGUGUGUGUGUGUGUGUGCAUUUGUGUUUGUGUGUGUGCGCACGUCCACAUGCAUGCAUGAUCCUACAAUGGAAGUGAGUACGCAAAAGUUGAUUGCCUAUAUACCCUCCCCACAACCAGGUGUAUAAGAGUAUUCUUUGAGAAUGAGAAAGCAGGAAGGAGCACAUCCCACACCUUAGCAUUCAUGUAGUCAAUUAGGAACUCCUGAGCUCCCAUGACAUGCUAGACCCUGGGCUCAGCACUGGAUCUCAGACAUGUCCCAAACUGGGCGAUGGAAGUGGUGGGAAGCAACCACUCAUGGACAGCUUCCCGUGUGCCAGGAGUGUGCCAGCAUUGACAUUAUGCCGUCUCUCACUCCUGCCCUCCAUCACAUUAGUGAUUCUGCCAUGAGUGACUCGUUCCUUUGGGUUCCUGUUAAGUUCCUGUGGAGGGGUCUAGCCACAGCAGGGGAAAGAGCACCGAGGGAGCUUUUAGGAAACUCUGCUCCAGGUCAGCUGUGUGAUGCUGAAAAAAUGGCUCACCCUCUCUGGACCUGUUUCCUCUUUUGCACAAUAAGAGGGUGGUGUUCUCCAAGGUCUCCUUGAAAAUGCGACUUAUCCUUGGUCAUCACUUUGCAGAGGGCAGGUCCUGUCCCCAAGCCCACCAGAGUGGAGCUGGGAAAAGUUCCAUGGUGAAGAAAAGGCAGGGGACACAACUCUGAGAGUCAUUCCUUUGAAGAUUGAGCCCAGAGGGCUCAGUUUCUGGAUUGCAUGGGGCACUUUGUCUCUCUCUGCUGGAG
rnacentral:lncRNA from 1 species